rnacentral:rRNA from 1 species
UUUGGGAAACUGCCUGAUGGAGGGGGAUGACUACUGGAAACGGUAGCUAAUACCGCAUAACGUCGCAAGACCAAAGAGGGGGACCUUCGGGCCUCUUGCCAUCAGAUGUGCCCAGAUGGGAUUAGCUAGUAGGUGGGGUAACGGCUCACCUAGGCGACGAUCCCUAGCUGGUCUGAGAGGAUGACCAGCCACACUGGAACUGAGACACGGUCCAGACUCCUACGGGAGGCAGCAAUG